CUCCAGAACUACAAGGAAACUUUUAGAAAUGAGAGCAUUGUGUUUACAUUCGCAUGUCCCCUUUCACCUGAUGAGGUGACACUGGGAAGACACACCGGAGAAGAAAGCUAAAUACUUCUGAGGAACUGGCACUGAAUUCCAAAGCUGCCAGAGAUGGUACUGGAUUGGAAUUUACAACCUUUCAUUUUCCAGGCUCCUCUUAAUGUGAUUUCGCCUGCAAUGAUAGCUCUGGCUGACAAAUAACUGACGUGGUAUCUAGCGCAAAUGAAGAGCCGCAUGAUGCUGAGACUAUCAAUCUAUCCAGUUUUCGGCUUCCUUUCUCCACAUCCCUGAUGUGCCCAGAGCUCAUGAAGCUCCUUCCUGCACUAUGUGGGCUGGCCACCAGGAGGAAGCCCCCAGCUUAGUCCCAGCUUGAUUUCUCUGUAUCCUACAAGACAGUGUUUCAGUGGGAGGAGUUGAUUCCCAAGGAAGCCCUGUCGUGCUGAGAGAAAAGCCAAGUUCUGAGCAGUGAGGACACUUUCUGCUUUCAUUCCUAUUUUGAAGGAGGUGAUGCGAGAAACAAGAAACAUCUUUGCUCAUGCUGAUGCAGCAAAUCUGGUAAAAGGUUUAUACCAGAAACUACAUCUGGCUUCGGACACUCCCACUCAUGUAUAGGGUCAGUCUUAAAUCUGAAAGCAUGGAGAUAUAUAACUCUUUUAUAUUUUUAUAAGAAAUCAAAGACUAACAAGCCUUCACCUAUAUUUCCUAUGUGGUUGGUCUCAGAAUUUCUGGGUCCUUUAAUUGAAACACAUGGCAUUGGAAAUUGGAUUGUUGUUGUUGUUGUUGUUGUUGUUGUUGUUGUUUACAAAACAGUCAGAGGAAAUCCAAAAGUAUGGAGUAUCAUGCCAACCUCCCAGGCCUUAGGAAACCAUUGACCAAUACCACAGCAAUGCGUGUGAAGUCUCUGCCUUUAUAUAGGUGAGUUCAGGGUGUGAGCUUUCUGGAGGUGUUUAAACCAAUAAGGAGAUACUCUCAUUUAAUUCCAGUUAAACUUCAGUGAGGCUGCUAGAGAGAUCUCAAGUCAAAUUCUAACCAUGUAGGCUAAAUCUGAAUAGAAACAAAGACAGCCUCUGGCCCAUCCGUCUGCUUGGUAAGCUUCCCUUGAUGCAGACUCACUCUCCCAUCUAGGUAGGCAGUAGGGCAGAGGAACAGUUGAGAGCAGAGUAUAAUGACACUGUAGGUGUGGAUAAACCAAUGAGAGCCCUUAUGUUUGUGUGCUGACUUAAAAAGAAAUACUAAGGGCCAGAGGAAGAGGAAGUUUACUGUGAGAUUGUGUUUCCUAGAAAUGUCGGGGAAACUACUUCCAUGAAUUCUCACCAGCAUGGCUGCCUAAACAAGAUCUGAACAAAGACCACAUCAAGAGACAUGUCACAUGAAAAAGGGAGAGAUCCUGUGGCAUGAAUCUUACAAGCAACUAGACAAUGGAAGGAGUAGGAGAAAUCGCCUUCCCUGGGGAAGAGGUCCCAACCCUGAAGUCGUUUACAUACAGGUAAUAUCAUAUACAUACUGGUAAUAUAUGCUGAUAUCAUAUAUAUAAUAUCAGCAAUUAAAGACAAACAGAUCAUGAAUUUGAGAGAGCACAAGAGGACAUAUGGAGGGGCUGGCAGGAGGAAAAG
rnacentral:lncRNA from 1 species